CCCAGGAUCAGUCCUGACGCUCCGAUGGCGAUCUUGUUUCUCUCAGACUCGGGCAUGGACGGGUCUGAGGACAGACAGGUAGACAGGUUAGCAGAGAGACAGGUUAAGAGACAGGUAGACAGGUUAGCAGGUAGACAGAGACAGAGGGUUAAGAGACAGGUAGACAGGUGACAGAGUUAAGAGACAGGUAGACAGGUUAGCAGAGAGA